ACAGCAGCCGCCGCGGGAAUACGUAGGGUGCGAGCGUUGUCCGGAAUUACUGGGCGUAAAGAGCUCGUAGGCGGUUUGUCGCGUCGUCUGUGAAAUUCUGCAGCUUAACUGUAGGCGUGCAGGCGAUACGGGCAGACUUGAGUACUACAGGGGAGACUGGAAUUCCUGGUGUAGCGGUGAAAUGCGCAGAUAUCAGGAGGAACACCGGUGGCGAAGGCGGGUCUCUGGGUAGUAACUGACGCUGAGGAGCGAAAGCGUGGGUAGCGAACAGGAUUAGAUACCCCUGUAGUCCCUGUCUCUUAUAC
rnacentral:rRNA from 1 species